rnacentral:rRNA from 1 species
UUACCGGUCUGCGACGCUACUGCUUUGGGUACUUUCAGGACCCGUCUUGAAACACGGACCAAGGAGUCUAACAUGUGCGCGAGUCAUUGGGUUGUUGUUAAUGCGAAUAAACCUAAAGGCGCAAUGAAAGUGAAGGUCGUCCUUAGCGUCGAUCGAGGGAGGAUGACCCGGGCUCGCUCGGGUUCGCACUCCCGGGGCGUCUCAC